rnacentral:rRNA from 1 species
GACGAACCGUGCGAACGUUGUUCGGAUUCACUGGGCUUAAAGGGCGCGUAGGCGGACGGUCAAGUCAGGGGUGAAAUCUUUCAGCUCAACUGGAAAAGUGCCUCUGAUACUGAUCGUCUCGAGGGAGGUAGGGGCAUGUGGAACUUCCGGUGGAGCGGUGAAAUGCGUAGAUAUCGGAAGGAACGCCGGUGGCGAAAGCGACGUGCUGGACCUCUUCUGACGCUGAGGCGCGAAAGCCAGGGGAGCGAACAGG